AAAACUUUUCUUUGUGUGGAAUAAAACUUCCAAAACUGUUUUUCCAUCCUGAUGAUCAGAAGAGUGUUUGAGGGUCUCAGAGACCCUUCAGAACAACAUUAAGUGUUAAUGAGCUCUUUUAGCUGUUUAGGUGAUUACAAUCAUGUGAUUUCCAGGAAGUGCUGCAGCGCUGCAUGCUCUCUCUCUCUGCAGACUAUUUGCUGCUGUCUGUCUCUACAUGUUUUCUCUGUGUGUGUUUCUGCUGCUUCUUUGUCCUCACUGUAAACAGAUGUACUGAGAGACUCCAACGUCACUUCCGUACGAGACGGUGCAUCCUGUAAGUGUGGAGUUUGACCGAGCGGCUGAACGACAGAUCUGUUCUAACAGUCAGUGACUUUCAGCUUUAUUUUAAACCUUAAAUUUAAUCUUGUGUCGUCAGAUUUAAACACAGGUUCAGUUAUUGAGUGAAAAUACCAACAGACUCAGACAUUUAGGACAAACUAAGAGUCAGAUCAGCAGAAACAGAGAACACGGACAUGUCUGCUGUAACUGCGUCACUCUGCUCCACUUUGCUGAUGUUUGGUGGAGUCUUCAUGUUUGUCUCUGCAGAUUUUCCACCCUGAUGACCACAGAGGCCUUCGAGGCUUCCAGACGUCCUUCAGAACAACACACUGGAUGAACUGGUGAUUUACACAGGCUACUGGUUUUGUAAACUGGUGCAGGCUGCUGCUGGUUCUCAGACCAGAAAAUCAUCACAGCUGAAUCUGGACAGAACGUCACUCUGACAUGUCGAGCUUCAAACAACAUUAUAGCAGUAAACUGGAGCAGAGCUGACCUGGGAACAAAAUAUGUCCUUUUUUACCGGGAUGAGCGUUUUUUUCCAGACGACCAGCAUCCAUCUUUUAAGAACCGGGUGGAUCUGCAGGACAGACGGAUGAAGGAUGGAGACGUGUCUUUGAUUCUGAAAGAUGUGACGACUAAUGACACUGGAACAUACGAGUGUAGUGUUGCCCAAAAAGAACCAAACCAAGAGAGACCCAGUUUGAAGCCCAUCAGCAUCAUCUACCUGAGUGUUGUUGAUCCUCCAGGUCAGACAGGAGGAGACACAGAGGCAGGAGGGAAGGAGGAUGGAGGGAAGGAGGCUGGAUCUGUUGGACUGAUCAUUGGUCUGUCAGUGUCGGCUGUGCUUCUUGUUGCUGCUGUUGCUGGAUUUUUGGUCUGCAGAAAACGUGAGAAAACAAAGAGUUGGGAUCCAUACCAGCCUCCUGCUGAACUGCAGCCUGUUUGAAAUGUGAGUUUCUUACAGCUGAGCUCCUGG